rnacentral:tRNA from 1 species
GCUUCCGUAGCAUAGUGGUAUUGCGUAAGUUUGUGAGUUCGAUCCUUGCCGGGAGCU